GACGAACGCUGGAGGCGUGCUUAACACAUGCAAGUCGAACGAUGAAAUGGAGCUUGCUCCAUGGAUUAGUGGCGAACGGGUGAGUAACACGUGAAUAACCUGCCCUUAAUUUUGGAAUAACCCAGGGAAACCUGGGCUAAUAGCGGAUAAGUAAACGUGUGGCAUCACCAGGUUUUGGAAAGUUUUUCGUUUAAGGAUGGUUUCGCGGCCUAUCAGCUUGUUGGUGGGGUCAUGGCUCACCAAGGCGACGACGGGUAGCCGGCCUGAGAGGGUGAACGGCCACGCCGGGACUGAGACACGGCCCAGACUCCUACGGGAGGCAGCAGUGGGGAAUAUUGCGCAAUGGACGAAAGUCUGACGCAGCGACGCCUCGUGAGGGACGAAGGUCUUCGGAUUGUAAACCUCUUUCAGCAGGGACGAAGCGAAAGUGACGGUACCUGCAGAAGAAGCACCGGCUAACUAUGUGCCAGCAGCCGCCGUAA
rnacentral:rRNA from 1 species